rnacentral:rRNA from 1 species
GACGAACGCUGGCGGCGUGCUUAACACAUGCAAGUCGAACGGAAAGGCCCUGCUUUUGUGGGGUGCUCGAGUGGCGAACGGGUGAGUAACACGUGAGCUACCUGCCCUUGUCUUUGGGAUAACUUCAGGAAACUGGGGCUAAUAACGGAUAGUAGCUCCUGCUUCAUGGUGGGGGUUGGAAAUUUUCGGCGGUUGGUGAUGAACUCGCGGCUUAUCCGCUUGUUGGUGGGGUUGUGGCUUACCAAGGCUUUGACGGGUAGCCGGCCUGAGAGGGGGACCGGCCACAUUGGGACUGAGAUACGGCCCAGACUCCUACGGGAGGCAGCAGUGGGGAAUAUUGCACAAUGGGCGGAAGCCUGAUGCAGAAACGCCGCGUGCGGGAUGACGGCCUUCGGUUUGUAAACCGCUUUCGCCGGUGAGGAAGCGUGGGUGACGGUAAUGGGUAAAGAAGCACCGGCUAACUACGUG